rnacentral:rRNA from 1 species
CCUACGGGUGGCAGCAGUGGGGAAUAUUGCACAAUGGGGGAAACCCUGAUGCAGCGACGCCGCGUGAGUGAAGAAGUAUUUCGGUAUGUAAAGCUCUAUCAGCAGGGAAGAAAAUGACGGUACCUGAUUAUGACUCCCCGGCUAACUACGUGCCAGCAGCCGCGGUCCUACGUAGGGGGCCAGCGUUAUCCGGAUUUACUGGGUGUAAAGGGGGCGUAGACGGCAGCACAAGUCUGGAGUGAAAUGCCGGGGCUUAACCCCGGAACUGCUGUGGAAACUGUGCAGCUAGAGUGCAGGAGAGGUAAGUGGAAUUCCUAGUGUAGCGGUGAAAUGCGUAGAUAUUAGGAGGAACACCAGUGGCGAAGGCGGCUUACUGGACUGUAACUGACGUUGAGGCUCGAAAGCGUGGGGAGCAAAUAGGAUUAGAUACCCCUGUAGUC